rnacentral:rRNA from 1 species
UACAUGGGGUGCAAACGUUGCUCGGAAUUAUUGGGCGUAAAGCGCACGUAGGCGGUUCGUUAAGUCGGAUGUGAAAGCCCUCGGCUCAACUGAGGAAGUGCACCCGAAACUGGCGAGCUUGAGUACGAAAGAUGAUCGCGGAAUUCCCGGUGUAGAGGUGAAAUUCGUAGAUAUCGGGAGGAACACCGGUGGCGAAGGCGGCGAUCUGGGUCGAUACUGACGCUGAGGUGCGAAAGCGUGGGGAGCAAACAGG